GGUUAAGCGACUAAGCGUACACGGUGGAUGCCCUGGCAGUCAGAGGCGAUGAAGGACGUGCUAAUCUGCGAAAAGCGUCGGUAAGGUGAUAUGAACCGUUAUAACCGGCGAUGUCCGAAUGGGGAAACCCAGUGCAAUUCGUUGCACUAUCGUUAACUGAAUACAUAGGUUAACGAGGCGAACCGGGGGAACUGAAACAUCUAAGUACCCCGAGGAAAAGAAAUCAACCGAGAUUCCCCCAGUAGCGGCGAGCGAACGGGGAGCAGCCCAGAGUCUGAAUCAGCUUGUGUGUUAGUGGAACGGUCUGGAAAGUCCGACGGUACAGGGUGAUAGUCCCGUACACCAAAAUGCACAGGCUGUGAACUCGAAGAGUAGGGCGGGACACGUGGUAUCCUGUCUGAAUAUGGGGGGACCAUCCUCCAAGGCUAAAUACUCCUGACUGACCGAUAGUGAACCAGUACCGUGAGGGAAAGGCGAAAAGAACCCCGGCGAGGGGAGUGAAAAAGAACCUGAAACCGUGUACGUACAAGCAGUGGGAGCACCUUCGGGUGUGACUGCGUACCUUUUGUAUAAUGGGUCAGCGACUUAUAUUCUGUAGCAAGGUUAACCGUAUAGGGGAGCCGCAGGGAAACCGAGUCUUAACUGGGCGUUAAGUUGCAGGGUAUAGACCCGAAACCCGGUGAUCUAGCCAUGGGCAGGUUGAAGGUUGGGUAACACUAACUGGAGGACCGAACCGACUAAUGUUGAAAAAUUAGCGGAUGACUUGUGGCUGGGGGUGAAAGGCCAAUCAAACCGGGAGAUAGCUGGUUCUCCCCGAAAGCUAUUUAGGUAGCGCCUCGUGAACUCAUCUUCGGGGGUAGAGCACUGUUUCGGCUAGGGGGUCAUCCCGACUUACCAACCCGAUGCAAACUACGAAUACCGAAGAAUGUUAUCACGGGAGACACACGGCGGGUGCUAACGUCCGUCGUGAAGAGGGAAACAACCCAGACCGCCAGCUAAGGUCCCAAAGUCAUGGUUAAGUGGGAAACGAUGUGGGAAGGCACAGACAGCCAGGAUGUUGGCUUAGAAGCAGCCAUCAUUUAAAGAAAGCGUAAUAGCUCACUGGUCGAGUCGGCCUGCGCGGAAGAUGUAACGGGGCUAAACCAUGCACCGAAGCUGCGGCAGCGACACUAUGUGUUGUUGGGUAGGGGAGCGUUCUGUAAGCCUGCGAAGGUGUGCUGUGAGGCAUGCUGGAGGUAUCAGAAGUGCGAAUGCUGACAUAAGUAACGAUAAAGCGGGUGAAAAGCCCGCUCGCCGGAAGACCAAGGGUUCCUGUCCAACGUUAAUCGGGGCAGGGUGAGUCGACCCCUAAGGCGAGGCCGAAAGGCGUAGUCGAUGGGAAACAGGUUAAUAUUCCUGUACUUGGUGUUACUGCGAAGGGGGGACGGAGAAGGCUAUGUUAGCCGGGCGACGGUUGUCCCGGUUUAAGCAUGUAGGCUGGUUAUCCAGGCAAAUCCGGAUAAUCAAGGCUGAGGUGUGAUGACGAGGCACUACGGUGCUGAAGUAACAAAUGCCCUGCUUCCAGGAAAAGCCUCUAAGCAUCAGGUAACAUUAAAUCGUACCCCAAACCGACACAGGUGGUCAGGUAGAGAAUACCAAGGCGCUUGAGAGAACUCGGGUGAAGGAACUAGGCAAAAUGGUGCCGUAACUUCGGGAGAAGGCACGCUGGUGUGUAGGUGAAGCCCCUGCGGGUGGAGCUGAGACCAGUCGAAGAUACCAGCUGGCUGCAACUGUUUAUUAAAAACACAGCACUGUGCAAACACGAAAGUGGACGUAUACGGUGUGACGCCUGCCCGGUGCCGGAAGGUUAAUUGAUGGGGUUAUCCGUAAGGAGAAGCUCUUGAUCGAAGCCCCGGUAAACGGCGGCCGUAACUAUAACGGUCCUAAGGUAGCGAAAUUCCUUGUCGGGUAAGUUCCGACCUGCACGAAUGGCGUAAUGAUGGCCAGGCUGUCUCCACCCGAGACUCAGUGAAAUUGAACUCGCUGUGAAGAUGCAGUGUACCCGCGGCAAGACGGAAAGACCCCGUGAACCUUUACUAUAGCUUGACACUGAACAUUGAGCCUUGAUGUGUAGGAUAGGUGGGAGGCUUUGAAGCGUGGACGCCAGUCUGCGUGGAGCCAACCUUGAAAUACCACCCUUUAAUGUUUGAUGUUCUAACGUUGGCCCCUGACCGGGGUUGCGGACAGUGUCUGGUGGGUAGUUUGACUGGGGCGGUCUCCUCCCAAAGCGUAACGGAGGAGCACGAAGGUUAGCUAAUCCUGGUCGGACAUCAGGAGGUUAGUGCAAUGGCAUAAGCUAGCUUGACUGCGAGCGUGACGGCGCGAGCAGGUGCGAAAGCAGGUCAUAGUGAUCCGGUGGUUCUGAAUGGAAGGGCCAUCGCUCAACGGAUAAAAGGUACUCCGGGGAUAACAGGCUGAUACCGCCCAAGAGUUCAUAUCGACGGCGGUGUUUGGCACCUCGAUGUCGGCUCAUCACAUCCUGGGGCUGAAGUAGGUCCCAAGGGUAUGGCUGUUCGCCAUUUAAAGUGGUACGCGAGCUGGGUUUAGAACGUCGUGAGACAGUUCGGUCCCUAUCUGCCGUGGGCGCUGGAGAAUUGAGGGGGGCUGCUCCUAGUACGAGAGGACCGGAGUGGACGCAUCACUGGUGUUCGGGUUGUCAUGCCAAUGGCACUGCCCGGUAGCUAAAUGCGGAAGAGAUAAGUGCUGAAAGCAUCUAAGCACGAAACUUGCCCCGAGAUGAGUUCUCCCUGAGACUUUAAGUCUCCUGAAGGAACGUUAAAGACGAUGACGUUGAUAGGCCGGGUGUGUAAGCGCAGCGAUGCGUUGAGCUAACCGGUACUAAUGAACCGUGAGGCUUAACCUU
rnacentral:rRNA from 1 species